GAACGGCUCUUCGGAGCAGUGGCGGACGGGUGAGUAACGCGUGGGAACGUGCCCUUUGGUUCGGAACAACACAGGGAAACUUGUGCUAAUACCGGAUGUGCCCUUCGGGGGAAAGAUUUAUCGCCAUUGGAGCGGCCCGCGUUGGAUUAGGUAGUUGGUGGGGUAAUGGCCCACCAAGCCGACGAUCCAUAGCUGGUCUGAGAGGAUGAUCAGCCACACUGGGACUGAGACACGGCCCAGACUCCUACGGGAGGCAGCAGUGGGGAAUCUUGCGCAAUGGGCGAAAGCCUGACGCAGCCAUGCCGCGUGAAUGAUGAAGGUCUUAGGAUUGUAAAAUUCUUUCACCGGGGAAGAUAAUGACGGUACCCGGAGAAGAAGCCCCGGCUAACUUCGUGCCAGCAGCCGCGGUAAUACGAAGGGGGCUAGCGUUGCUCGGAAUUACUGGGCGUAAAGGGCGCGUAGGCGGACAGUUAAGUCAGAGGUGAAAGCCCAGGGCUCAACCUUGGAAUUGCCUUUGAUACUGGCUGUCUUGAGUUCGGGAGAGGUGAGUGGAAUGCCGAGUGUAGAGGUGAAAUUCGUAGAUAUUCGGCGGAACACCAGUGGCGAAGGCGACUCACUGGC
rnacentral:rRNA from 1 species